AUAAACUUUGUUAAACAAUUUAUGAACAAAAUAUAAACCCCUCACUAUAGAAAACUCGCGCUCUAAUGAGUUGCACCUAGUCCGAUAAAAUUCCUUCAAAAGAAAGAUUCAAGCACUGAACAGAGCGAUUAGGGUUAAAGACAAUAAGGAGUAAAAUAAAAAAGAAAUUGAGAAAAGAGUAAACGUAGUGAUUGAGGUUUCACUAGGAUAUAAAUACAUAGAGACCCUUCAUCUAUAAGUCCUAUUAGAAUUGAUCCCUCAACUUUAAAUCUUUUUUAUUUACUAUCGGGUAUUUCACCAGAUCUAGAUCUAGAUUCGAGUAUGAUUCCAGAUUCCUAUUUGAAAUCUCUUUUGGACCCUACCCAUUGAAAGGUCGGGUUCGGAUCGGGUCCAAGUCAGUUAUGGAUAUAAAGUAUCUGGACCCACACUCAAAACUUCAAUGGUUAGUUUUUUUUACUCGUAUAUAUCCAUUUUUCACUGUAUCCGAUUCAGAUCCGGGAUAGGGUCCGGACAGGGUCCGAAUCGGGUAUGGAAUAUUAGGUAUUUUGGACAGCUUUAAGUACAGCCUUUUUCGGAUUGUAAUC
rnacentral:lncRNA from 1 species